rnacentral:rRNA from 1 species
CUACGGGGUGCUGCAGUGAGGAAUAUUGCACAAUGGAGGAAACUCUGAUGCAGCAACGCCGCGUGGAGGAUGACACUUUUCGGAGCGUAAACUCCUUUUAUAUAGGAAGAGGAUGACGGUACUAUAUGAAUAAGCGCCGGCUAACUCCGUGCCAGCAGCCGCGGUAAUACGGAGGGCGCAAGCGUUACUCGGAAUCACUGGGCGUAAAGAGCGUGUAGGCGGAUUAAAAAGUCAGAAGUGAAAUCCUAUAGCUUAACUAUAGAACUGCUUCUGAAACUCUUAAUCUAGAAUAUGGGAGAGGUAGAUGGAAUUUCUGGUGUAGGGGUAAAAUCCGUAGAGAUCAGAAGGAAUACCGAUUGCGAAGGCGAUCUACUAGAACAUUAUUGACGCUGGGACGCGAAAGCGUGGGGAGCAAACAGGAUUAGAUACCCUGGUAGUC